AACAGUGUUAAAACAAGGAUAGUACCAAUACCAAUAAUUACCGUGUUUCUUGGAUCAGCUAAACUUUUUUCAGCCGUUUGUUGACUGACUGUUAAAACCGUUCAAACACAGUUAAAGAACUCAAUAAUACCAAAGACAACAGCAGUAACUAUUCCCAAACUCAAAUAAACCCGUUCCUUGUAUUUACCAAAGAUCUCAUCUUCAUGGUUGACCUGGUUAAUCAUGUCUACUAAGAACUGAUCUAAUUGCAUGUACUCCUUUACCUUGGUGUACAGCUGGUCAUACUUAACUGAAGCGGUACGGAAGUAUUCACUGAGAUACCGCAGCCGGUUAAUGCUGUUGAGGUUAGAACGCAAGAGAGAAGGAUCGUUAGUGCGGUUUUGCUCAAAGAUCUUGGAGUAAUCAAAUGCCUUGAGCAUAAUUGCCUUACUGUAAGUAAUCGUUCAGACAAUGUUAUGGAUCGCUGAUUUGAACUUAUUGUUAACAAUACUCAAAACAUCGGUAUUACUGUUCAUAAACAACAGUUGGUUAAAGGUACGCCGUACUAACAAAGUUUCUUUUUGUUGUUGAAAGUCAUUGAGCACAUCGCUGUCAGUAAAGUCAAUUUCCUUAAAGAAGUCACCAAUUUCCCUUAGGUUUAAGUCAUUGGCAAUGGCAGUAUCAUCCAGACCAAAAACAUUGGGUUGCAUUGUGAUUAAAAACAACAGCUUAGCUUCGUUAGUGUUGAAAAAGUCAUCAUUCUUUAAAAAGCACUGUUUUUUGUCUGGUUCAAAUACA
rnacentral:sRNA from 1 species